rnacentral:rRNA from 1 species
UCCAUAAAGUCGAUUUAAGGCAUCUUUUAUUGAUUAAAGCUCCGGCGGUUAGAGAUGGGCAUGCGUGUCAUUAGCUAGUUGGUGAGGUAACGGCUCACCAAGGCCACGAUGACUAGGGGGUCUGAGAGGAUGAUCCCCCACACUGGUACUGAGACACGGACCAGACUCCUACGGGAGGCAGCAGUGAGGAAUAUUGGGCAAUGGACGCAAGUCUGACCCAGCCAUGCCGCGUGCAGGAUGACUGCCCUAUGGGUUGUAAACUGCUUUUGUUUGGGAAGAAACCCCCGAUCGUGAUCGGGGCUGACGGUACCAUACGAAUAAGCAUCGGCUAACUCCGUGCCAGCAGCCGCGGUAAUACGGAGGAUGCAAGCGUUAUCCGGAUUCAUUGGGUUUAAAGGGUGCGCAGGCGGAAUAUUAAGUCAGUGGUGAAAUCCUGCAGCUUAACUGUAGAACUGCCAUUGAUACUGAUAUUCUUGAAUAUAGUUGAGGUAGGCGGAAUGUGUAAUGUAGCGGUGAAAUGCUUAGAUAUUACACAGAACACCAAUUGCGAAGGCAGCUCACUAAACUAAUAUUGACGCUGAGGCACGAAAGCGUGGGUAGCAAACAGGAUUAGAUACCCUGGUAGUCCACGCUGUAAACUAUGAUCACUCGCUGUUGGCAAUACAUCGUCAGCGGCUGAGCGAAAGCAUUAAGUGAUCCACCUGGGGAGUACGGUCGCAAGAUUGAAACUCAAAGGAAUUGACGGGGGCCCGCACAAGCGGAGGAACAUGUGGUUUAAUUCGAUGAUACGCGAGGAACCUUACCUGGGCUUAAAUGCAGAGCGACGUCCGCCGAAAGGUGGAUUCCUUCGGGCGAUCUGCAAGGUGCUGCAUGGUUGUCGUCAGCUCGUGCCGUGAGGUGUCGGGUUAAGUCCCAUAACGAGCGCAACCCUUAUCGUUAGUUGCCAGCGGGUAAUGCCGGGGACUCUAACGAAACUGCCGGUGUAAACCGUGAGGAAGGUGGGGAUGACGUCAAAUCAGCACGGCCCUUAUGUCCAGGGCUACACACGUGUUACAAUGGUCGGUACAGAGGGCAGCUACCACGCGAGUGGAUGCUAAUCUCGAAAACCGGUCUCAGUUCGGAUUGAAGUCUGCAACUCGACUUCAUGAAGCUGGAUUCGCUAGUAAUCGCGCAUCAGCCA